rnacentral:rRNA from 1 species
UACGUAGGGUGCGAGCGUUUGUCCGGAAUUAUUGGGCGUAAAGGGCUCGUAGGCGGUCUGUCGCGUCGGGAGUGAAAACUCAGGGCUUAACCCUGAGCCUGCUUCCGAUACGGGCAGACUAGAGGUAUGCAGGGGAGAACGGAAUUCCUGGUGUAGCGGUGGAAUGCGCAGAUAUCAGGAGGAACACCGGUGGCGAAGGCGGGUCUCUGGGCCGAUACUGACGCUGAGGAGCGAAAGCGUGGGGAGCGAACAGG